rnacentral:rRNA from 1 species
GACGAACGCUGGCGGCGUGCUUAACACAUGCAAGUCGAGCGGAGCGGCGAACGGGUGAGUAACGCGUGAGUAACUGCCCCCCUCUCUGGGAUAACAGUUGGAAACGGCUGCUAAUACCGGAUAAAGGGGGAUGGCUCGCGGCCUAUCAGCUUGUUGGUGGGGUGAUGGCCUACCAAGGCGGUGACGGGUAGCCGGCCUGAGAGGGUGACCGGCCACAUUGGGCUGAGAUACGGCCCAGACUCCUACGGGAGGCAGCAGUGGGGGAUAUUGCACAAUGGGCGAAAGCCUGAUGCAGCGACGCCGCGUGGGGGAUGAAGGCUUUCGGGUUGUAAACCUCUUUCGCUAUCGAAAGGGUAGGUGGAGAAGAAGCGCCGGCUAACUACGUGCCAGCAGCCGCGGUAAUUC